UCAUCUGAAGAGCUUAAGUAAAAACAGACUCAUUGCCCCUCUCUCCCAAACACAUCCCACAGAAUGGGGAUUUCAGAGAAAGCAUCAAAGAAAACUGAGAAUGAUAAUUCAGAGACAUUGGAGAAGAUGGAGAGAAUGUACUAUGAAGAAAAAAAACAAUGGGAAAUGACUGUCAUUACCAUGUGCAGUAUGGAUGGGGAAUACUCUUGUCACUGGUGAAGACCAUUGCAGAAGGGAGGUACCCAGGAAGGGGAUUGAGAGCAGAGCUGGGAGGACUCCUCCAGGCCUUGGAACUUACUGCUGUUGGGGAAAGAGGAAAAUGACCGGAUGGCCCUUUUUUUCUUAGUUUAAAUAGGAAGCGUCUGCAAGAGGGAGUAAGCCGAACACUACUGCAUAGAGCAAGGACUGAGGAGCACUGAGUCAAAGGCCCAGCUGCCCUGAGGGCUGGCAGAGGUCACAACCAAGUGCUUGUGUCCAUUUAUUUCAUAGAUCAAAUACUGAACCAUCAGAGGGGGGAAGAAAGAUUUUCUUUGCCUCUACAUCAGCCUAGACAGCAAAGGCUUUUCUGGUUUUGUUUUUGUUUUUGUUUUCCUGUCAAUGUGGGAAGCUAAAGAAAGAGAAGGGCUAGGCUGAAGAUCUUGAGCUUCCCUGUGAAGAUUCUGUGUUAUUUCAACCCCUCUUCUGGACUUUUCCUUCUUUCCAUCACUCUCCCAAGGAGCCCAUUUCUGUCUCCUCUACAAGCCCAAAUGCCUUUCCAGACAGGGCCAGCUCCUGAUUGGCCCCCAAGGUCAGAAGUCAGCUGCUCCCCACAGCCACCCUGGGCCUGGUCCCAGGACCCUGCUGCCUCCCCCACCUUCAUCCUUCACUUUUUUGAGCUCAGGUUCCUGUCCCAGCUUCCAUCAUUCCAAAUUAAGUAGAGAGGAGACUUACCCCCAGGAGACCUGAGCCUUGUCCAGGGUCAGGAAUAAACGUGGUCACACAUCACUCAAAGAAACCUGGGGUGCAGGAGAGUCCCUGACGAGGAGCCGUCUUUCUGCGGUGGCAGUGUGCACGCUGAUCUUGGCAUGCCGGCAGCAGAGCCUGCAGGAGUGCCGCAGCUGGGCUUGGCUGGUGCGCAGGCAGCAGAAGGUGAGUGUCUGAAGUCAGCCUCCUGGGGCUGGUGGGCGUGAGGGAAGAGCAGCUCGCUAAACAUAGGAGCAUAAAUUCUAUUUCUGGGGGGUGUUUGAACCAGUGGGAUGAGCGACUUCCAAGCACUUUAGGAGGAUCUAGGAACUAACAAAUGAGUGACCCUGCAAUUCUACUCUAACCCCAUCUGCUAGCUACCUUUUUUUGAGCAGCAGAAUAACAUGGAUGUCAUUGGCGUGGGAGGGUAAAAUAUGCCACCCCAAAAUACACUUCCUCCGCACAUUUCGGAGAUGGCUAUUCAGAGAAACUGCAGACACAGGAACAGCUCUGAGAAGGCCUUUUGUAAAAGAAAUGGGUGACUCUAAUGGAAAUGCAUGCUUGUGAAGUAAACAGGGUGUCAACAGACCUCUUGAGGUUCCCCUUCUGCCUUACCUCAUUGUAGGGAGGAACAUGUGGACAUCCCUGCCCAGAGCUGGCCACAGGAUGUCUUGGAGCACUUUCUGAGGGCUCUUACCCAGGAGACUUUGCCUGCAUAAUAAAAACCUUUGUUCAAGGCAUGGCCUCACCUCACAUAACCCCUGCCCUCCAGGAGCCCCACUGCCCUGUCCCUGUCUGGCUGGCAUAAAAACUUCAGUUCAUCCGGCCCUUCUUUGAGUCUCAUAUUUUUCUUGGUUCCUGUGCACUUGCUCGUAAUGUAUUUGGAUUCCUUUUCUCCUGCAGAUCUGUCUUGUGUCCAUUUAUUUCAUAGACUCAAAUACUGAACCAUCAGAGGGGGAAAGAAAAUUUUUCUUUGCCUCUACAUCAGCCUAGAUAGUUUGACCACUGUGGCUGGCACCCAGGCUCCCAUACCAGGAAAAAGAAUGGUGUCUACCUUAGAGUUGUGUGUGGUUAAUAAAAUGAUGCAUUUAAACUUGGUACCAAGCAUACAGGGAACACUAAAACAUGGUUAUGUUUCCUUUAAAAAUGUCAUCUUAUUCAAAACCUGCCUUGCUAUUUUAGGGCCUGUCAAAAUUAGGAAUGCCACUCUUCUCUGGAUCAGACUGUGCUUUGUACUUUUGUUUGUUUUAGCUGUUUUUAUUUUACAUGAUUGUAAUCAUCCUAUAUAUGCAUUUUCUUUCUGUUGUACAGUUGAUGUGCCAAUAUUGAUACUUUAUUACUAAAGUCCAUAGUAACAUUAAGGUUCACUCUUUGUUGUACAGCUCUGCUGGGUUUGAGAUGCAUAAUGACAUGUGUCCACUGUUAGAAUAUCAUGCAGAAUGCUUUUGCUAUCCUAAACAUCCUUUGUGUUCCACCUAUUUAUCCCUCCCUCCUACCUCACCCCUGGCAACCACUUUUCCUUUUUACUGUCUCUCUGGAUUUGCCUUUUUCCAGAAUGUCAUAUACAGAGUCUCCUCCAUUUACAGUGGGGUGACAUCAACUGAAAAUAUCAGUAAGUAGAAAAUGGGUUUAAGGCAGCUAAACUACCAAACAUCACAGACUCACCCACAGACCACCAUUGUUCUCUCUCUCGAUCCUGUGACUGCCUGGGGGCUUCAGUUUGCUGCUGCCGCCCAGCAUCCCAAGAGUAUCACAAGGCACAUCACCAGCCCAGAAAGAGACCAAGUCAAAAUUUAAAUUCUGUAUGAAAUUUGUACCACUUUCACAUCAUUCUAAAGGAAAAUCAUAAAGUGGAUCACCAUAGGUGGGGAUGAUCAACAGUUGGACUCAAUAUGUAGCCUUUUCAAGUAUGUGUUUUCACAGCUUGAUGACUCUUUUUUUUUUUUCUUCCCCCAUCUAUUUAUUUAUUUAUUUAUUUAUUUAGCUGAAUAACAUUCUGUUGUAUGGAAGUGUCCCAGCUUCUUUACCCAGAUAAGGACUCCAGGGCAUCUUGGUUGCUUUCAGGUUUUAGCAAAUGUCAACCUGCUGUUGACAUUUGUGUGCAGGUUUUGAGUAAAUAUGUUUCCAAUUCCCUUGAAAAAAUACAAAGACCGCAACUGCUAGAUCAUGUGGUGAGAGUAUGCUUAGUUCCAUAAGAAACCAUCAGUCUUUCAUGGUGGUGGUACCAUUUUGCAUUCCCACCCAUGAUGGCUUAGUCCCUGUCACUCCACAUCCCUGCCAGCAUUUGUGUUUUGUUUUGUUUUGUUUUUUAACCAUGCUAAUAGGUAUGUAGCAGUAAAACAUCUUAAUUUGAGAUUCCCUAAUGUAUAAUAUCUCACAUUUUUCAUGUUUAUUUGCCAGAUUCUUUGGUGAGGUGUCCAGAUCUUUUGCUGAAUUGUUAACUGGGGCUUUUUUUAUAUUGUUGGAUUUUAUGUAUCUGUGUAUGUUUCGGCUAUCAGUCCUAAUCAGAUGUGUUUUACAAAUAUUUUCUCCCAGCCUGUGCC
rnacentral:lncRNA from 1 species